GACGAACGCUGGCGGCGUGCUUAACACAUGCAAGUCGAACGGAAAGGCCCUGCUUUUGUGGGGUGCUCGAGUGGCGAACGGGUGAGUAACACGUGAGUAACCUGCCCUUGACUUUGGGAUAACUUCAGGAAACUGGGGCUAAUACCGGAUAGGAGCUCCUGCUGCAUGGUGGGGGUUGGAAAGUUUCGGCGGUUGGGGAUGGACUCGCGGCUUAUCAGCUUGUUGGUGGGGUAGUGGCUUACCAAGGCUUUGACGGGUAGCCGGCCUGAGAGGGUGACCAGCCACAUGGGGACUGAGGUACGGCCCAGACUCCUACGGGAGGCAGCAGUGGGGAAUAUUGCACAAUGGGCGGAAGCCUGAUGCAGCAACGCCGCGUGCGGGAUGACGGCCUUCGGGUUGUAAACCGCUUUCGCAUGUGACGAAGCGUGAGUGACGGUAAUGGGUAAAGAAGCACCGGCUAACUACGUG
rnacentral:rRNA from 1 species